AGCUUGUGGCGAGCUGUUGGGGAGUAACGACCCCACGGACCCGAGUGCUCCCGAGAGUCGGUCAGGGUCUCCGUCUCCGGCAUGUCUUCGUCGGUCGGAGUGGACCCCAAGGGGACCCGCAGGACUCUCAGCUCUGGCUUGCCUUAAUUGGCCGUCCAGAGAGGAGUCGUUAGAGCUAUAUAUAUAUGCUCCAGGGGUGGAAGUGAAAGAUGCAUAAGACGCGAGUUGGCACAGUGGCUGGUAACAGCCACUGGGUAGAAAGCGGCGCACACCUCUCGACACCCCUGAGUCGCUCACACCGGUGUUGCCCCUGGUCGUCUUUACGACGGCAGUUUCAGGGGCCCAUCUAGUAAGCGGCGAGUCACCACCUGCCUCGAUAACGUGUACUAACAUUGUUAUGGCAGGUGUCCGGACCUCUCAGCAAUAGCCCAAUCUUUUGACCAGCCAACAUUCAUCACCAUAACCAGCACUUUUCUCCACUAUAUUCACAAUAGCCCCUACGCCUGUUGGGACCGAUUGACGGGUAUCUAUUUGUACCCGUGAAUGGGUUCUAGCAGGUGUAUUACAUAACAGCAAACUUCUCCAAAGGGCCUCUACGUGUUGGAUCUGUAUCCCCACGCACGCCUAUCAAAUGACCGGGAUGUAUAUACCCGUGACUUUAAAAGAGAUACAAAUAAUAAUAAUAAUAAGCCCGCAGGGCAGCUUGUGGCGAGCUGUUGGGGAGUAACGACCCCACGGACCCGAGUGCUCCCGAGAGUCGGUCAGGGUCUCCGUCUCCGGCGUGUCUUCGUCGGUCGGAGUGGACCCCAAGGGGACCCGCAGGACUCUCAGCUCUGGCUUGCCUUCAUUGGCCGUCCAGAGAGGAGUCGCUAGAGCUAUAUGCUCCAGGGGUGGAAGUGAAAGAUGCAUAAGACGCGAGUUGGCACAGUGGCUGGUAACAGCCACUGGGUAGAAAGCGGCGCACACCUCUCGACACCCCUGAGCCGCUCACAUCGAUGUUGCUCCUGGUCGUCUUUACGACGGCAGUUUCAGGGGCCCAUCUAGUCAGCGGCGAGUCACCACCUGCCUCGAUGACGGUGUUAACAUUGUUAUGGCAGGUGUCCGGACCUCUUUGCAAUAGCCCAGUUUCAUUGUCCACCCAAACUGCAAUCUAUAGACCGGAACGCUGUUCACUUUUUCUACAAUAGUCCCAAUGCCUGCUGUGACCGGUUCAUGGGUGUCUAUUGUUGCGCCUGUGAACGGCUCUCCAAACGGCCUCUACGUGUUGGAUCUGUAUCCCCACGCAAGCCUAUCAAAAGACCGGGAUUUAUAGGCCCGUGAAA